rnacentral:rRNA from 1 species
GACGAACGCUGGCGGCGUGCUUAACACAUGCAAGUCGAACGGAAAGGCCCUGCUUUUGUGGGGUGCUCGAGUGGCGAACGGGUGAGUAACACGUGAGUAACCUGCCCUUGACUUUGGGAUAACUUCAGGAAACUGGGGCUAAUACCGGAUAGGAGCUCCUGCUGCAUGGUGGGGGUUGGAAAGUUUCGGCGGUUGGGGAUGGACUCGCGGCUUAUCAGCUUGUUGGUGGGGUAGUGGCUUACCAAGGCUUUGACGGGUAGCGGGCCUGAGAGGGUGACCGGCCACAUUGGGACGGAGAUACGGCCCAGACUCCUACGGGAGGAAGCAGUGGGGAAUAGUGCACAAUGGGCGGAAGGCUGAUGCAGCAACGCCGCGUGCGGGAUGACGGCCUUCGGGUUGUAAAGCGCUUGCGCCUGUGACGAAGCGUGAGUGACGGUAAUGGGUAAAGAAGCACCGGCUAACUACGUG